rnacentral:rRNA from 1 species
GUGAACGCUGGCGGUAGGCCUAACACAUGCACGUCGAACGGCAGCACCGUAAGAGCUUGCUCUUACGGGUGGCGAGUGGCGGACGGGUGAGGAAUACAUCGGAAUCUACUUUUUCGUGGGGGAUAACGUAGGGAAACUUACGCUAAUACCGCAUACGACCUACGGGUGAAAGCAGGGGAUCUUCGGACCUUGCGCGAUUGAAUGAGCCGAUGUCGGAUUAGCUAGUUGGCGGGGUAAAGGCCCACCAAGGCGACGAUCCGUAGCUGGUCUGAGAGGAUGAUCAGCCACACUGGAACUGAGACACGGUCCAGACUCCUACGGGAGGCAGCAGUGGGGAAUAUUGGACAAUGGGCGCAAGCCUGAUCCAGCCAUACCGCGUGGGUGAAGAAGGCCUUCGGGUUGUAAAGCCCUUUUGUUGGGAAAGAAAAGCAGCAGGUUAAUACCCCGCUGUUCUGACGGUACCCAAAGAAUAAGCACCGGCUAACUUCGUG